rnacentral:lncRNA from 10 species
CUGCACUCCAGCCUGGGUGACAGAGCAAGACUCCGACUCAAAAAAAAAGGUUGUGGGGUGGGCAGGGGGAGGAAGUAGGAAGCAAGUGAGCGAGAGAGAACACAGAAACACAGUAGAGAAGUCAAGGAAAUGUAAUCAAAGACACAGAGGAGAGGUUUCAAAUUAGAAGAGUAUUAAAUGCAUGCAGUGUGCUAGUCAGCUGGGAGAGUUCAGUGGAGAACACGUGUCUUCCUCAGCUCGGGCUGCCCUAAGGAAAUACUACAGACUGGGUGGCUUAAACAACAGAAAUUUCUUUCUCACAGUUCUGGAGGCUGCAAGUCCAAGAUCAAGGUGCCAGCAGGGCAAGAAAACACUGUUUCUGCACACUCUGUGACCUCCUCUCCAUGCCUGUGUUACCAUCUGUUGGCAGCAUCUCUCAGGAUGAAGAUCAGCAGGGAGGGGAGUGAGAGGAAAGCAGGUCCGAUCUUAUUUGCAGCGCUGGUCACACAUGCACAGACAGGGUUGAAAAGUUUCACACAGACAGAUGUGUGUGCAUCCCUAGCUCCUCUUGGGUUGCCAUGGUGAGCAACCUCUCAGGUCCCAGGCUCAGAGCAGGUGCCAGGAGGAGGCUGCAGGCUUGAGGACCAUUCAAGAUGUCCAUUAGAAGCACAAACAGCCGGGCGCGGUGGCUCACGCCUGUAAUCCCAGCACUUUGGGAGACCGAGGCAGGCGAAUCACGAGGUCAGGAGUUCGAGACCAGACUGGCCAACAUGGUGAAACCCCAUCUCUACUAAAAAUACAAAAAAUUAGCAGGGCAUAGUGGCGGGCACCUGUAAUCCCAGCUACUCAGGAGGCUGAGACAGGAGAAUUGCUUGAACCCGGGAGGCAGAGGUUGCAGUAAGCCGAGAUCACACCACUGCACUCCAGCCCGGGCAACAGAGUGAGACUCCAUCUCAAAAAAAAAAAGAAGAAGCACAAACAACCCCAGCCUUCCCUCUCUCCAUAAUGGACUGAAUCUCAGCCUGCCACACUAAUAGGUGCGUGGUCACAAAGAAACCUGCAACAGCAAUGUCUUACUCCUCAUUAUGUGGAUUUCAAUGACGGAUACAGUGCUUUCAUUGUGAUCUCCAUAUGCAGAAUUUAAAAGCCUCUCUCAGCCAGGCACAUGUAACCUAGGCUUUGGAAACCCUCGCAAAUAAUUUUUCAAGGACAAUAAACCACAAACGAUCAAAGACAACCAGAAUUACAGAAGCCUGAAGACUCCAGCCUGGGCCACCUCUGGUCGGAAGCAUGAAAAAGACUAUGGCACUAGGGAUUAAAAAGUCACUGUCAGCCGGGCAUGGUGGCUCACGCCUGUAAUUCCCAGACCUUUGGGAGGCCAAAGUGGGAGGAUCACUUGAGCACAGGAGUUCAAGACUAGCCUGAGCAACAUAGAGAGACUAUAUCUCUACAACAAAUAAAAAAAUCAGCCGAGUGUCAUGGCUGGCCCCUGUAAGUCCCAGCAAUCCGGAAGCUGAGGUGGGAGGAUCACUUGAGCUCAGGAGUUUGAGAUGGAGUGAGACUAAAUCUUGCCACUGCACUCCAGCCUGGGUGACAGAGAGGGACUGUAUCCCAAAAAGAAAAAAAGAAGAUUGCUAUCAGCAUCAUUGGCAGACACUGCACCAGGCUUGGGGGUGUGGAAGAGCAGAUGCUGAACUCCCUGUUAACUCCCAGUAAGGACAACACUAUAGUUCCUUUUAAAAAAUAUUAUUUUAGGCCAGGCAUGGUAGCUCACGCUUGUAA